rnacentral:rRNA from 1 species
AGUGAACGCUGGCGGCGUGCCUAAUACAUGCAAGUCGAACGGAGAUUAAAUAGCUUGCUAUUUAAUCUUAGUGGCGCACGGGUGAGUAAUAUAUAGUUAAUCUGCCCCAUAGUGGAGGACAACAGUUAGAAAUGACUGCUAAUACUCCAUACUCCUUCUUAUCAUAAGUUAAGUCGGGAAAGUUUUUCGCUAUGGGAUGAGACUAUAUCGUACCAGCUAGUUGGUGAGGUAAUGGCUCACCAAGGCUAUGACGCGUAACUGGUCUGAGAGGAUGAUCAGUCACAUUGGAACUGAGACACGGUCCAAACUCCUACGGGAGGCAGCAGUAGGGAAUAUUGCGCAAUGGGGGAAACCCUGACGCAGCAACGCCGCGUGGAGGAUGACACUUUUCGGAGCGUAAACUCCUUUUGUUAGGGAAGAAUAAUGACGGUACCUAACGAAUAAGCACCGGCUAACUCCGUGCCAGCAGCCGCGGUAAUACGGAGGGUGCAAGCGUUACUCGGAAUCACUGGGCGUAAAGGACGCGUAGGCGGAUUAUCAAGUCUCUUGUGAAAUCUAGUGGCUUAACCACUAAACUGCUUGGGAAACUGAUAAUCUAGAGUAAGGGAGAGGCAGAUGGAAUUCUUGGUGUAGGGGUAAAAUCCGUAGAGAUCAAGAAGAAUACUUAUUGCGAAGGCGAUCUGCUAGAACUUAACUGACGCUAAUGCGUGAAAGCGUGGGGAGCAAACAGG